AGAGUUUGAUCAUGGCUCAGAACGUACGCUGGCGGCACGCCUUAUACAUGCAAGUCGAACGAAGUAGCAAUACUUAGUGGCAGACGGGUGAGUAACAUGUAGGUAUCUUCCCUUUGGUGAGGAAUAACACGAGGAAACUUGUGCUAAUACCUCAUAAGUCUUUACAGAGAAAGCUUUACGCGCCGAAGGAUGAGCCUGCAUUUGAUUAGUUUGUUGGUGGGGUAAUGGCCCACCAAGACUGUGAUCAAUAGCUGAUCUGAGAGGAUGAUCAGCCACAUUGGGACUGAGACACGGCCCAAACUCCUACGGGAGGCAGCAGUAGGGAAUAUUGCACAAUGGAGGAAACUCUGAUGCAGCGAUGCCGCGUGAGUGAAGAAGGCCUUUGGGUUGUAAAGCUCUUUCGUCGGGGAAGAAAAUGACUGUACCCGAAUAAGAAGGUCCGGCUAACUUCGUGCCAGCAGCCUCGGUAAUACGAAGGGACCUAGCGUAGUUCGGAAUUACUGGGCUUAAAGAGUUCGUAGGUGGUUAAAAAAGUUGGUGGUGAAAUCCCAGAGCUUAACUCUGGAACUGCCAUCAAAACUUUUUAGCUAGAGUAUGAUAGAGGAAAGCAGAAUUUCUAGUGUAGAGGUGAAAUUCGUAGAUAUUAGAAAGAAUACCAAUUGCGAAGGCAGCUUUCUGGAUCAUUACUGACGCUGAGGAACGAAAGCAUGGGUAGCGAACAGGAUUAGAUACCCUGGUAGUCCACGCCGUAAACGAUGACAACUAGCUGUUGGGAGACAAUGUCUUUCAGUGGCGCAGCUAACGUUUUAAGUUGUCCGCCUGGGGAGUACGGCCGCAAGGCUAAAACUCAAAUGAAUUGACGGGGACCCGCACAAGCGGUGGAGCAUGUGGUUUAAUUCGAUGCAACGCGAAAAACCUUACCUACUCUUGACAUACUUGGAAGCUCUUGUAAUGAGAGUGUGCCUUUUGGAGCCAAGAUACAGGUGCUGCAUGGCUGUCGUCAGCUCGUGUCGUGAGAUGUUCCGUUAAGUCGGAUAACGAGCGCAACCCUUACCCUUAUUUGCCAGCGAUUCGGUCGGGAACUAUAAGGGGACUGCCGGUGAUAAACCGGAGGAAGGUGAGGACGACGUCAAGUCAUCAUGGCCCUUACGAGUAGGGCUACACACGUGCUACAAUGGGGAAUACAGACGGACGCUAAGCCGCGAGGUGGUGCUAAUCCUAGAAAAUUUCUCGUAGUCCGGAUUGCAGUCUGCAACUCGACUCCAUGAAGUCGGAAUCGCUAGUAAUCGCGAAUCAGCAUGUCGCGGUGAAUACGUUCUCGGGUCUUGUACACACCGCCCGUCACACCAUGGAAGUGGAUUGCACCAGAAGUAGAUAGUCUAACCUUCGGGAGGGCGUUUACCACGGUGUGCUUCAUGACUGGGGUGAAGUCGUAACAAGGUAGCCGUA
rnacentral:rRNA from 1 species